UGUGAAAAUGAUGAUUUAGGGGAUCUGAAAACAUCUGAAGCUAAGAUGCCAUCCAUUUCCUGAUUCACA